UGGGGAAUAUUGCACAAUGGAGGGAACUCUGAUGCAGCGACGCCGCGUGAACGAAGAAGGCUUUCGAGUCGUAAAGUUCUUUUAUAUGGGCAGAUAAUGACGGUACCAUAAGAAAAAGCCCCGGCUAACUACGUGCCAGCAGCCGCGGUAAUACGUAGGGGGUUAGCGUUGUCCGGAAUCACUGGGCGUAAAGGGUUCGCAGGCGGAAAUGCAAGUCAGGUGUAAAAGGCAGUAGCUUAACUACUGUAAGCAUUUGAAACUGCAUAUCUUGAGAAGAGUAGAGGUAAGUGGAAUUUUUAGUGUAGCGGUGAAAUGCGUAGAUAUUAAAAAGAAUACCGUGUGCGAAGGCGACUUACUGUGCUCAUUCUGACGCUGAGGAACGAAAGCGUGGGUAGCAAACAGG
rnacentral:rRNA from 1 species